AUGCAAGUCGAACGAGCUUCCGUUGAAUGACGUGCUUGCACUGAUUUCAACAAUGAAGCGAGUGGCGAACUGGUGAGUAACACGUGGGGAAUCUGCCCAGAAGCAGGGGAUAACACUUGGAAACAGGUGCUAAUACCGUAUAACAACAAAAUCCGCAUGGAUUUUGUUUGAAAGGUGGCUUCGGCUAUCACUUCUGGAUGAUCCCGCGGCGUAUUAGUUAGUUGGUGAGGUAAAGGCCCACCAAGACGAUGAUACGUAGCCGACCUGAGAGGGUAAUCGGCCACAUUGGGACUGAGACACGGCCCAAACUCCUACGGGAGGCAGCAGUAGGGAAUCUUCCACAAUGGACGAAAGUCUGAUGGAGCAAUGCCGCGUGAGUGAAGAAGGGUUUCGGCUCGUAAAACUCUGUUGUUAAAGAAGAACACCUUUGAGAGUAACUGUUCAAGGGUUGACGGUAUUUAACCAGAAAGCCACGGCUAACUACGUGCCAGCAGCCGCGGUAAUACGUAGGUGGCAAGCGUUGUCCGGAUUUAUUGGGCGUAAAGCGAGCGCAGGCGGUUUUUUAAGUCUGAUGUGAAAGCCUUCGGCUUAACCGGAGAAGUGCAUCGGAAACUGGGAGACUUGAGUGCAGAAGAGGACAGUGGAACUCCAUGUGUAGCGGUGGAAUGCGUAGAUAUAUGGAAGAACACCAGUGGCGAAGGCGGCUGUCUAGUCUGUAACUGACGCUGAGGCUCGAAAGCAUGGGUAGCGAACAGGAUUAGAUACCCUGGUAGUCCAUGCCGUAAACGAUGAGUGCUAAGUGUUGGAGGGUUUCCGCCCUUCAGUGCUGCAGCUAACGCAUUAAGCACUCCGCCUGGGGAGUACGACCGCAAGGUUGAAACUCAAAGGAAUUGACGGGGGCCCGCACAAGCGGUGGAGCAUGUGGUUUAAUUCUAAGCUACGCGAAGAACCUUACCAGGUCUUGACGUCUUCUGCCAAUCUUAGAGAUAAGACGUUCCCUUCCGUGACAGAAUGAC
rnacentral:rRNA from 2 species